rnacentral:rRNA from 1 species
UACGUAGGGGGCGAGCGUUGUCCGGAGUUACUGGGCGUAAAGCGCACGCAGGCGGUCUGCUAAGUUUGGAGUGACAGUUGGUGGCUUAACUGCCAAAGUGCUUCGAAAACUGACAGACUUGAGGGCUUCAGAGGGACACGGAAUUCCGGGUGGAGUGGUGAAAUGCGUAGAUAUCGUCUGGAACGCCGAAGGUGAAAACAGCUCGCUGGGGCUGCGCUGACGCUGAGACACGAAAGCCAGGGGAGCGAACGGG